rnacentral:rRNA from 1 species
AUACAGGGGGUGCGAGCGUUAAUCGGAAUAACUGGGCGUAAAGAGUACGUAGGCGGUUGCUUAAGUCAGAUGUGAAAGCCCCGGGCUCAACCUGGGAACUGCAUUUGAAACUGAGUGACUAGAGUUUAAGAGAGGGGAGUAGAAUUCCGGGUGUAGCGGUGAAAUGCGUAGAGAUCCGGAGGAAUACAAGUGGCGAAGGCGGCUCCCUGGCUUAAAACUGACGCUGAGGUACGAAAGCGUGGGUAGCAAACAGGAUUAGAAACCCCGGUAGUCC